UAUUAUAUUCCAUUAUGUUCUGCUGUAGGCUUUUAAUUAUUUGACUUUCCAUUUUGUCAUUGGCUGAAAUCGUAAUACUUCAUUUUGAAUGACUCGACUAUAUGUGCAAAUGGCACCUACUUUUGAUUAUUAUUUUUAAUUAUUAUUAAAUUAUAUUUAUCUAUUGCCAAAAAAAUUUAAUAGGAUUAAUCAAGGGUUUUACAGAGUUUUAGAAUGAUGGACAAUUUAGGAGACAUAAAAUAGGGAAUAGAAAAAGAUGCAAUGCUGAAUUAGGCUUUGCAAAUAAUGGAGAUAUGGAAUGAGAUGAGAGAAGUCAAAAUAAAAGAAAUAAAAAGGAGGCUUUACAGUGAUUUUGUUAUAUAUUUGCUAUACCUUAUCAUAAGCACCUUCCCAGAGCCCAGCAUCAUAUUUAUAUACAUGAAUUGCCAGAAAUACCAUAUUUUAUUUAUUUACAAAGGUAAUUUGUCAAAUUUUCUAGUUG
rnacentral:lncRNA from 1 species